GUUCACUUUUGAGAUUCAUUCAACAACAGCGAGUCGUUCGCGAACGAAACACCACUAACUCCAGUCAGUGCGUCUUUUUAUCCGUUUAGCAGGACGUUUUCUCUUCAAGAUAGUUUUCAAAGAGAAUUAUACACUCCAACUACUGAAUAAUCAGUCUGAGAUGUUUGCAGACUAUAGUUUUGCUCAUAUUCCUCCAAGACCUUCACCACAUCCUCAUGGCCGAACUGCAUGGCGUCAUCCCGAGGAAUAUUUCCCCACCUGAAUAAGAGACAUGAGGUCAAUUAUCACCAAACGGAUGAAGCUGAAGAAAACGAUUCUACCCUCUGCAGCAGCUAUGUGAAGAGGUGUACGAGAGUCAUAGUCCUUCAGCUCCAUUUCCAUGGAUGAAAGGGCAAACCUGAGGAACAAUGGAGAAAGAGGGCAAUGAGUCAUUUAUAUUUCAGUAGCACUCAAAAAUUUGGAGUAAUAAAGACAUUGUGAGGUAUAUAAAAUGACCUUCUCAGAGCUGAGACAUCUCCACUGUGGGCUGCAAACAUCAGAUUCACCACUGAUUUAUUCAGAAAAAAAAGAUUUGGUGCAUUAAUUGCUGGAACUAUUAAUCAGUCUAACAAAAAGGUUUAAUAUAGGGUAUUUUCGCAACAUUUGGUGUUUAAAAUUGGUUGAUGUGAAAGUUGUUUUUCUAAUUUUAGAUUUACCCUGUCA